GAUGAACGCUGGCGGCGUGCCUAAUACAUGCAAGUAGAACGCUGAAGGAGGAGCUUGCUCUUCUGGAUGAGUUGCGAACGGGUGAGUAACGCGUAGGUAACCUGCCUGGUAGCGGGGGAUAACUAUUGGAAACGAUAGCUAAUAACGCAUGACAACAGUUAUUGCAUGAUAACUGUUUAAAAGGGGCAACUGCUCCACUACCAGAUGGACCUGCGUUGUAUUAGCUAGUUGGUGAGGUAACGGCUCACCAAGGCGACGAUACAUAGCCGGCCUGAGAGGGGGAUCGGCCACACUUGGACUGAGACAAGGCCCAGACUCCUACGGGAGGCAGCAGUAGGGAAUCUUCGGCAAUGGACGGAAGUCUGACCGAGCAACGCCGCGUGAGUGCAGAAGGUUUUCGGAUCGGAAAGAUCUGUUGUAAGAGAAGAACGAGUGUGAGAGUGGAAAGUUCACACUGUGACGGUAGCUUACCAGAAAGGGACGGCUAACUACGUG
rnacentral:rRNA from 1 species